GUGAGCGAGAGGCCAGGGCAUGGCUGGGGGAGCUGCAGGGCCGUCCGAGGGGCCCCAGCAUCUGAGCCGUGUCCUCCUGCAGG
rnacentral:pre_miRNA from 10 species